CCUACGGGUGGCAGCAGUAGGGAAUCUUCCACAAUGGGCGAAAGCCUGAUGGAGCAACGCCGCGUGGGUGAAGAAGGUCUUCGGAUCGUAAAACCCUGUUGUUAGAGAAGAAAGUGCGUGAGAGUAACUGUUCACGUUUCGACGGUAUCUAACCAGACAGCCACGGCUAACUACGUGCCCGCAGCCGCGGGAAUACGUAGGUGGCAAGCGUUAUCCGGAUUUAUUGGGCGGAAAGGGAGCGCAGGCGGUAUUUUAAGUCUGAUGUGAAAGCCUUCGGCUUAACGGGAGUAGUGCAUUGGAAACUGGGAGACUGGAGUGCAGAAGAGGAGAGUGGAACUCCAGGUGUAGCGGGGAAAUGCGUAGAUAUAUGGAAGAACACCAGUGGCGAAAGCGGCUCUCUGGUCUGUAACUGACGCUGAGGUUCGAAAGCGUGGGUAGCAAACAGGAUUAGAUACCCCGGUAGUC
rnacentral:rRNA from 1 species